UACGAAGGGGGCUAGCGUUGUUCGGAAUUACUGGGCGUAAAGCGUGCGCAGGCGGCUUCUCAAGUCAGGGGUGAAAGCCCAGAGCUCAACUCUGGAAUUGCCUUUGAGACUGAGUGGCUGGAGUACGGCAGAGGGAGGUGGAAUUCCACGUGUAGCAGUGAAAUGCGUAGAGAUGUGGAGGAACACCGAUGGCGAAGGCAGCCUCCUGGGCUAGUACUGACGCUCAUGCACGAAAGCGUGGGGAGCAAACAGG
rnacentral:rRNA from 1 species